rnacentral:rRNA from 1 species
AUUGAACGCUGGCGGCAGGCCUAACACAUGCGAGUCGAACGAGUGGCGGACGGGUGCGUAAUGUCUGGGAACCUGCCUGCUGGAGGGGGAUCCCUCCUGACAACGGUCGCUAAUACCGCAUACCCUCAGCUGUGCCCAGAUGGGAUUAGCUUGUUGGUGGGGUAACGGCUCACCAAGGCGCCGAUCCCUAGCUGGUCUGAGCGGAUGACAAGCAACAAGGGAAAUGAGAAAAGGGACAGAAUUCUACGGGAGGCAGCAGUGGGGAAUAUGGAACAAUGGGCGCAAGCCGUAGGCAGCCAGGCCGCGUGUAUGAAGAAGGCCUUAGGGUUGCAAAGUACUUUCAGAGGGGAGGCGUUACCCGCAGAAGAAGUACCGGCUAACUCCGUGCCAGCAGCCGCGGUAAUAC